rnacentral:rRNA from 1 species
GACGAACGCUGGCGGCGUGCUUAACACAUGCAAGUCGAACGGAAAGACCCUGCUUUUGUGGGGUGCUCGAGUGGCGAACGGGUGAGUAACACGUGAGUAACCUGCCCUUGACUUUGGGAUAACUUCAGGAAACUGGGGCUAAUACCGGAUAGGAGCUCCUGCUGCAUGGUGGGGGUUGGAAAGUUUCGGCGGUUGGGGAUGGACUCGCGGCUUAUCAGCUUGUUGGUGGGGUAGUGGCUUACCAAGGCUUUGACGGGUAGCCGGCCUGAGAGGGUGACCGGCCACAUUGGGACUGAGAUACGGCCCAGACUCCUACGGGAGGCAGCAAUGGGGAAUAUUGCACAAUGGGCGGAAGCCUGAUGCAGCAACGCCGCGUGCGGGAUGACGGCCUUCGGGUUGUAAACCGCUUUCGCCUGUGACGAAGCGUGAGUGACGGUAAUGGGUAAAGAAGCACCGGCUAACUACGUG